CUCACUUACACAUUUCCCCUUCCGUAUCCGUGCAUCAUUGGUAGAAACAUAGCGUUAAAAGUUUUUCUCUUUCUGCCAAAGGGUCUGAACCCAGGCUGCCUCGUUGUCAGCCUCAUGGACCUCUGAGAGCGAGCUCUCUGGGGUCCCAGGAACGUCUGACGUCAAACCGUCUUAGAGAAGGCGUCUUCAGGAAGUCUUAACGAAGGCCUCUGAGUCAAAACGCCUUGAAGAAGGCGUCUUUAGGAAGUCUUAACGAAGGACUCUGAGGUCGAGCCCCAGUCUUAACGAAGGCGUCUUUAGGACGUCUUAACGAAGGACUCUGAGGUCGAGCCCCAGGCUUAACGAGGUCUAGAAGCCAUUAACUCACCUGGUGCAGCGUGGCCGCGGGCUCCACAGGAGGUCGGCUCUGGGUGUGGCGGUCGACGACUCCCGACCGGAACCUCCGAGGGCAGGAACCCUCACCCUCACCCAGCAGCUGACACCUGACUGACCCCCCGUCCCCCGCGCUGGGCUGAGCUGCUCCUGGCAGGGGGAC
ensembl:lncRNA